AGUGAACGCUGGCGGUAGGCCUAACACAUGCAAGUCGAACGGCAGCACAGUAAGAGCUUGCUCUUACGGGUGGCGAGUGGCGGACGGGUGAGGAAUACAUCGGAAUCUACUUUUUCGUGGGGGAUAACGUAGGGAAACUUACGCUAAUACCGCAUACGACCUACGGGUGAAAGCAGGGGAUCUUCGGACCUUGCGCGACUGAAUGAGCCGAUGUCGGAUUAGCUAGUUGGCGGGGUAAAGGCCCACCAAGGCGACGAUCCGUAGCUGGUCUGAGAGGAUGAUCAGCCACACUGGAACUGAGACACGGUCCAGACUCCUACGGGAGGCAGCAGUGGGGAAUAUUGGACAAUGGGCGCAAGCCUGAUCCAGCCAUACCGCGUGGGUGAAGAAGGCCUUCGGGUUGUAAAGCCCUUUUGUUGGGAAAAAAAAGCAGCAGGUUAAUACCCCGCUGUUCUGACGGUACCCAAAGAAUAAGCACCGGCUAACUUCGUG
rnacentral:rRNA from 1 species